GCCGGAGGAUGCAAUCGUUAUCCGGAAUUAUUGGGCGUAAAGCGUUCGCAGGUGGCUGUUCAAGUCUGCUGUCAAAGACCGGGGCUUAACCCCAGAAAGGCAGUGGAAACUGAACGGCUGGAGUGCAGUAUGGGUAGAGGGAAUUCCCAGUGUAGCGGUGAAAUGCGUAGAGAUUGGGAAGAACACCGGUGGCGAAAGCGCUCUGCUGGACUGCAACUGACACUGAGGGACGAAAGCUAGGGGAGAGAAAGGG
rnacentral:rRNA from 1 species